GUGGCUCAGCCUGGUAGAGCACCUCGUUCGGGACGAGGGGGUCGCAGGUUCAAAUCCUGCC
rnacentral:tRNA from 2 species